GACGAACGCUGGCGGCGUGCCUAAUACAUGCAAGUGGGACGCAAGGAAACACACUGUGCUUGCACACCGUGUUUUCUUGAGUCGCGAACGGGUGAGUAACGCGUAGGUAACCUGCCUAUUAGCGGGGGAUAACUAUUGGAAACGAUAGCUAAUACCGCAUAAUAUUAAUUAUUGCAUGAUAAUUGAUUGAAAGAUGCAAGCGCAUCACUAGUAGAUGGACCUGCGUUGUAUUAGCUAGUUGGUAAGGUAAGAGCUUACCAAGGCGACGAUACAUAGCCGACCUGAGAGGGUGAUAGGCCACGCUGGGACUGAGACACGGCCCAGACUCCUACGGGAGGCAGCAGUAGGGAAUCUUCGGCAAUGGAAGAAAGUCUGACCGAGCAACGCCGCGUGAGUGAAGAAGGUUUUCGGAUCGUAAAGCUCUGUUGUAAGUCAAGAACGUGUGUGAGAGUGGAAAGUUCACACAGUGACGGUAGCUUACCAGAAAGGGACGGCUAACUACGUG
rnacentral:rRNA from 1 species